GAGUUUGAUCCUGGCUCAGGACGAACGCUGGCGGCGUGCUUAACACAUGCAAGUCGAGCGAUGAAGCUCCUUCGGGAGUGGAUUAGCGGCGGACGGGUGAGUAACACGUGGGUAACCUGCCUCAUAGAGGGGAAUAGCCUUUCGAAAGGAAGAUUAAUACCGCAUAAGAUUGUAGUACCGCAUGGUACAGCAAUUAAAGGAGUAAUCCGCUAUGAGAUGGACCCGCGUCGCAUUAGCUAGUUGGUGAGGUAACUGCUCACCAAGGCGACGAUGCGUAGCCGACCUGAGAGGGUGAUCGGCCACAUUGGGACUGAGACACGGCCCAGACUCCUACGGGAGGCAGCAGUGGGGAAUAUUGCACAAUGGGGGAAACCCUGAUGCAGCAACGCCGCGUGAGUGAUGACGGUCUUCGGAUUGUAAAGCUCUGUCUUUAGGGACGAUAAUGACGGUACCUAAGGAGGAAGCCACGG
rnacentral:rRNA from 1 species